GUGGGGAAUCUUCCGCAAUGGACGAAAGUCUGACGGAGCAACGCCGCGUGAACGAUGACGGCCUUCGGGUUGUAAAGUUCUGUUAUACGGGACGAAUGGUACGACGGCCAAUACCCGUCGUAAGUGACGGUACCGUAAGAGAAAGCCACGGCUAACUACGUGCCAGCAGCCGCGGUAAUACGUAGGGGGCAAGCGUUGUCCGGAAUUACUGGGCGUAAAGCGCACGCAGGCGGCGUCGUAAGUCGGUCUUAAAAGUGCGGGGCUUAACCCCGUGAGGGGACCGAAACUGCGAUGCUAGAGUAUCGGAGAGGAAAGCGGAAUUCCUAGUGUAGCGGUGAAAUGCGUAGAUAUUAGGAGGAACACCAGUGGCGAAAGCGGCUUUCUGGACGACAACUGACGCUGAGGCGCGAAAGCCAGGGGAGCAAACGGGAUUAGAUACCCGAGUAGUCC
rnacentral:rRNA from 1 species